rnacentral:rRNA from 1 species
AGAGUUUGAUCCUGGCUCAGGAUGAACGCUGGCGGCGUGCCUAAUACAUGCAAGUCGAACGCUUUGUGGUCCAACUGAUUUGAAGAGCUUGCUCAGAUAUGACGAUGGACAUUGCAAAGAGUGGCGAACGGGUGAGUAACACGUGGGAAACCUACCUCUUAGCAGGGGAUAACACUUGGAAACAAGUGCUAAUACCGUAUAACACUAAUAACCGCAUGGUUAUUAGUUAAAAGAUGGUCUUGCUAUCACUAAGAGAUGGUCCCGCGGUGUAUUAGCUAGUUGGUAAGGUAAUGGCUUACCAAGGCAAUGAUACAUAGCCGAGUUGAGAGACUGAUCGGCCACAAUGGGACUGAGACACGGCCCAUACUCCUACGGGAGGCAGCAGUAGGGAAUCUUCCACAAUGGACGAAAGUCUGAUGGAGCAACGCCGCGUGUGUGAUGAAGGGUUUCGGCUCGUAAAACACUGUUGUAAGAGAAGAAUGACAUUGAGAGUAACUGUUCAGUGUGUGACGGUAUCUUACCAGAAAGGAACGGCUAAAUACGUGCCAGCAGCCGCGGUAAUACGUAUGUUCCAAGCGUUAUCCGGAUUUAUUGGGCGUAAAGCGAGCGCAGACGGUUAUUUAAGUCCGAAGUGAAAGCCCACAGCUUAACUGUGGAAGUGCUUUGGAAACUGGAUAACUUGAGUGCAGUAGAGGAGAGUGGAACUCCAUGUGUAGCGGUGAAAUGCGUAGAUAUAUGGAAGAACACCAGUGGCGACGCGGCUCUCUGGGACUGUAACUGACGUUGAGCUCGAAAGUGUGGGUAGCAAA